rnacentral:misc_RNA from 1 species
AAAGCACCGUGUCACUGUUGCCAUAUGGAGCAUGUGGUGAUGUCGAACGCUGCUGCUCCACCUAUUUCGUAAGACGGGCUGGCUUUCUUGGUGAUGACAUCUCUGAUCACCCCAUCGUGCCCUGCCGUCAGUGUCCUGUCACCCUUAAUAUAAAAUAACUUACCUAGUCAGAAAUUUAUCUCGCAUCAGUUGUAUGUAUAGUGACAAUCCACCAGGAAUACACCAAUCCACCGUCUACUUAUCAGCUGCUACAACCAUAACUAUUUUGAUAAUGUGUUUUGGUAGUGAUCGAUGAGUGUGUCAGACAAGUGACUUCUUUACAUGUUAAUUGUUGGCAUAGUGACUCUGCCCACCAUCUCUUCAUUUCCGUGUACUCGACAGAUUUGACAACAAGGUGUUAUCUCAGACACGUACGGAGGCCCGGGAGCACAUUACUGCUGCCCUCAAUGCUGCCUUCCCGCACUCUCAACGAAUGCAAAUCAAGUUGAGAAGAAAUGGUACAGCUUGAAGAGUGAAGGGAAGGAGGAAAUCAGCGUCUACAACAAGGUGUUGAAGGGCACAGGUGGUGGGGACCCUCCCAAGCCUCUGUCUGAUGUGGCAACACUUGUACAAAGUAUACUUGGGCCAGAAAAUGUUUGUAUUUCUGGCAUUGCAGAGUUGGAUGCUGUAUCCUUACAGAAUGGGAAUACAGCUUCUGCAGGAAGUGAACAUGAUCUCACAGCCAACAACAAGACUGUUGCAGAAAUGGCUGUGAUUGAAAUCGACCAAUGUGAUGAAAUAUUAGAAGUGCAACUUUGUGAUGAUAAUUAAAAACUUCACGACAUAAGUAUGGCAGGAACUGUUAUUAAACCACCACCACCACCGUCAGCACAUAAGUGUUGCAGCACCUGCAGCUGUAGCACUGCCUGUGAAAAGGCAGUGCUGGAACUGGAGCUGCUCAGAGCACAAGUGGCAGCUGCAAAAGCACAGGCCCGUGUUUUUGAUAUGUGGAGUGAAAAAA